GACAGAGGGUGCAAACGUUGUUCGGAAUUACUGGGCGUAAAGCGUGUGUAGGCGGCUAUGUAAGUCGGAUGUGAAAGCCCCAGGCUCAACCUGGGAAGUGCACUCGAUACUGCGUAGCUUGAGUAUCGGAGAGGUUGGUGGAAUUCUCGGUGUAGAGGUGAAAUUCGUAGAUAUCGAGAGGAACACCGGUGGCGAAGGCGGCCAACUGGACGAAUACUGACGCUGAGGCGCGAAAGCCAGGGGAGCAAACGGG
rnacentral:rRNA from 1 species